GUGGCCAUACCAAGCUGUAAACACCAGUUUUCGUCUGAUCACCAAAGUUACGUAACAUCGGGCGUGGUCAGUGCUUGGGAGGGUGACAACCUGGGAACAACGCAUGCCGUCG